CCUACGGGAGGCAGCAGUGGGGAAUAUUGCACAAUGGGGGAAACCCUGAUGCAGCGACGCCGCGUGAGUGAAGCAGUAUUUCGGUACGUAAAGCUCUAUCAGCAGGGAAGAAAAUGACGGUACCUGACUAAGAAGCCCCGGCUAACUACGUGCCAGCAGCCGCGGUAAUACGUAGGGGGCAAGCGUUAUCCGGAUUUACUGGGUGUAAAGGGAGCGUAGACGGCAGCGCAAGUCUGGAGUGAAAUCCCAUGGCUCAACCAUGGAACUGCUUUGGAAACUGUGCAGCUAGAGUGCAGGAGAGGUAAGCGGAAUUCCUAGUGUAGCGGUGAAAUGCGUAGAUAUUAGGAGGAACACCAGUGGCGAAGGCGGCUUACUGGACUGUAACUGACGUUGAGGCUCGAAAGCGUGGGGAGCAAACAGGAUUAGAUACCCGAGUAGUC
rnacentral:rRNA from 1 species